AAAAAUGUAAUACAAGUAUAAUAGAAGGGGCCAAAAUGAAAAUCACAGCAAGAAAACGUUGGACUGUCAUCCAUACUUCCCUUCAUCGGCUUUAAUCCAAAAACUCUGAUAAACCUUUCUUCCCUGUGAAUAAAGCGGUGAUAAUACCAUCGUUGUUGAAGAGAGAGAGAGCUCGAAGGAAAUUUCCAUGGCCGAACACUCCGAUGAUUUAGACCAACUCCUUGACAGUAAGAGAGCCUCUCUCUCUCUCUCUCUCUCUCUCUCUCUCUCUCUCUCUCUCUCUCUCUCUCUCUCUCUCUCUCUCUCUCUCUAGAU
rnacentral:lncRNA from 1 species